rnacentral:sRNA from 1 species
GAGGGUUGCCAGAAAUUGAGGACGGACUCCCGCCCUGGUCGACUGAGCUCCCACAGGAGCGUCUCUACUGCGUCUCGGGGCUGAGUGUGGACGCGCCGCGCGCGGCCCCGCCAGGGCUGGUAGUUUGCAGACCGUCCCUGCCGCGGCCCGCUCGGAGGCGGCCCUGCGGCUCCCGCGGCGGCAGCGGCGGCGGCUCCGGGCGCGAUCCAGCCCAGGUAGCCGCGCCGCAGGCUCGGGGCGUCGCGACCUCGCGCCUCGGGCCGCGUGGGCACGGCGGCCGGCGGGUGCUCCCGGCUGCUGCUGCUGCCCAACAAGGAGAAUGGAAGUGAAGAAAGGCAACCAGCUGACACAGGAGCCAGAGUGAGACCAGCAGACUCUCACACUCAACCUACACCAUGAAUUUGUGUCUAUCUUCUACGCGUUAAGAGCCAAGGACAGGUGAAGUUGCCGGAGAGCAAUGGCUCUCUUUACUCCGUGGAAGUUGUCCUCUCAGAAGCUGGGCUUUUUCCUGGUGACUUUUGGCUUCAUUUGGGGUAUGAUGCUUCUGCACUUUACCAUCCAGCAGCGAACUCAGCCUGAAAGCAGCUCCAUGCUGCGUGAGCAGAUCCUGGACCUCAGCAAAAGGUACAUCAAGGCACUGGCAGAAGAAAACAGGAAUGU